AUUCAACUGACGAGUCCUAAAUAGGACGAAACGCAUGUCCUAGAU
rnacentral:hammerhead_ribozyme from 1 species